GGGAUUACAGGCGUGAGCCACCUCGCCUGGCCAAGAUGCUUAUUUCUAAUUAGCUUUAGUAAUUACUUAGGCUUAAUUUGGGAGUAGCACUGCAUAUUUUGGCUGAGGGAUAUUCUUUUAAACCUGAUAUGCUGAAGAUUAUUUGCUUUUAUAAUAGAGAACAUUAUUUGCUUUUAUAAUAGAGAACGGAGACCAACCUGGGCUGAAGAAAGAAGAUUAAAUGCUGAAACAUUUGGAAUCCCACUUCGUCCAAACCGUGGCCGUGGGGGAUACAGAGGCAGAGGAGGUCUUGGUUUCCGUGGUGGCAGAGGGCGUGGUGGUGGCAGAGGUGGUACCUUCACUGCCCCUCGAGGAUUUCGCGGUGGAUUCAGAGGAGGUCGUGGGGGCCGGGAGUUUGCAGAUUUUGAAUAUAGGAAAACCACAGCUUUUGGACCCUAAAAGGUCUGGAUUGAUCGUACUGCUUUCUGAAAGAAAGACAACAAAGUUGCUGCAUAGUCUACAAACAAGUCUCUGAAAAUAGGUGAAUUUCUAGCUCUUCAUGGUCCUGAACAUUGAUUUCAGUCUUUGCGAAGAAUGAAGAAGUGAAUUCGCUGUACAUUUGUCACCAGCACUGGGUUUUUGUUUUUUGUUUGUUUUUCCCCUUAAUUUCAAAGAUAAAAUGCAGUUACUUUUGGGGGUGGAAGGCUCAUCUUAAAACAUGAGCAUUAAAUAUAUUUGGAAUAGC
rnacentral:sRNA from 1 species